rnacentral:snRNA from 1 species
GUAAAUGUCUAGCCGGGAGCCCAUCUAUCCUGCCUCAAUUGCACUCCGGAUGUGCUGACCCCUGUGAUUUCCCCAAAUGUGCGAAACUCGACUGCAUAAUUUGUGGUAGUGGGGAACUGCGUUCAUGCUUUUCCCUG